AGAGUUUGAUCCUGGCUCAGGAUGAACGCCGGCGGUGUGCCUAAUACAUGCAAGUCGUACGCACUGGCCCAACUGAUUGAUGGUGCUUGCACCUGAUUGACGAUGGAUCACCAGUGAGUGGCGGACGGGUGAGUAACACGUAGGUAACCUGCCUCGGAGCGGGGGAUAACAUUUGGAAACAGAUGCUAAUACCGCAUAACAACAAAAGCCACAUGGCUUUUGUUUGAAAGAUGGCUUUGGCUAUCACUCUGGGAUGGACCUGCGGUGCAUUAGCUAGUUGGUAAGGUAACGGCUUACCAAGGCAAUGAUGCAUAGCCGAGUUGAGAGACUGAUCGGCCACAAUGGAACUGAGACACGGUCCAUACUCCUACGGGAGGCAGCAGUAGGGAAUCUUCCACAAUGGGCGCAAGCCUGAUGGAGCAACACCGCGUGAGUGAAGAAGGGUUUCGGCUCGUAAAGCUCUGUUGUUGGAGAAGAACGUGCGUGAGAGUAACUGUUCACGCAGUGACGGUAUCCAACCAGAAAGUCACGGCUAACUACGUGCCAGCAGCCGCGGUAAUACGUAGGUGGCAAGCGUUAUCCGGAUUUAUUGGGCGUAAAGCGAGCGCAGGCGGUUGCUUAGGUCUGAUGUGAAAGCCUUCGGCUUAACCGAAGAAGUGCAUCGGAAACCGGGCGACUUGAGUGCAGAAGAGGACAGUGGAACUCCAUGUGUAGCGGUGGAAUGCGUAGAUAUAUGGAAGAACACCAGUGGCGAAGGCGGCUGUCUGGUCUGCAACUGACGCUGAGGCUCGAAAGCAUGGGUAGCGAACAGGAUUAGAUACCCUGGUAGUCCAUGCCGUAAACGAUGAGUGCUAGGUGUUGGAGGGUUUCCGCCCUUCAGUGCCGGAGCUAACGCAUUAAGCACUCCGCCUGGGGAGUACGACCGCAAGGUUGAAACUCAAAGGAAUUGACGGGGGCCCGCACAAGCGGUGGAGCAUGUGGUUUAAUUCGAAGCUACGCGAAGAACCUUACCAGGUCUUGACAUCUUGCGCUAACCUUAGAGAUAAGGCGUUCCCUUCGGGGACGCAAUGACAGGUGGUGCAUGGUCGUCGUCAGCUCGUGUCGUGAGAUGUUGGGUUAAGUCCCGCAACGAGCGCAACCCUUGUUACUAGUUGCCAGCAUUAAGUUGGGCACUCUAGUGAGACUGCCGGUGACAAACCGGAGGAAGGUGGGGACGACGUCAGAUCAUCAUGCCCCUUAUGACCUGGGCUACACACGUGCUACAAUGGACGGUACAACGAGUCGCAAGCUCGCGAGAGUAAGCUAAUCUCUUAAAGCCGUUCUCAGUUCGGACUGUAGGCUGCAACUCGCCUACACGAAGUCGGAAUCGCUAGUAAUCGCGGAUCAGCAUGCCGCGGUGAAUACGUUCCCGGGCCUUGCACACACCGCCCGUCA
rnacentral:rRNA from 1 species